GCCAGGAAGUAGUCCCAGUCUGGCCUGUCCAGAGGCUCAUUCUGGCUCCAGAGCGCCAGCGGUACAGUUCAUACAGUAACAGCAAAGGAGUUCGAUAUGCCACUCGUCUAACAGAUCCAACAUUCUCAUGUGCUGAGAAAGGUAAGAGUUGAUCUUUGGACCAGGAGCUGCUGAGCUUCUUUAUGUUGCCUCGUAGCCAUUUUCCCAAUUGUGUGGGUUUCUGUUGACGUGAUACAUAAUCCGGUUGUGGAAUAGACUACUUUUCAAAAGAAUGGGAGAACCCGUUCUGAUAUUUUUAGAUUCUUCCAGUGUUUUUGAUGACAUGACUAGUUCUGUUUUUUUACUGUGGUUCUUAUUUCUUUGAAAUAAAUAUAAAGUAUACAUGAAUAUGUUAAUAUCUUUACUAGUAAUCACAGUUCCAAUCUGUGUUAAGGUUAAUCUGGUUCAAAUUGGUAUCUAUUUCAUCACUCUGAAUACUAGGCCUAAAACAAGAUAUCUUCAGAUAAUUUGCAGAUGGAUGGCAGCCACAAUCUCACAUGAACUCAGCCAGAUCUCCCUAUUAAUCAGUCUUGUAUAUCACCCCUGCUUCUUUACAUUUUAUCAACAAAAAAAACCAUCUCUUAUCCCUGUGCUGUUAUUUGUACCUGCGACCUUCCCACUCCUGAAUAACUGCAGGAAGUGACAUACAUGAGACAAAAUCAUAUCUCGCUAAAUGAAAAUGUGGACAAAAACUCGGAAUAGGUGGUAUCCAUACCAGGAUACUAAAGGUAGGCUAGACAAAGUGCAGAACAAUGUGAAUGUGUGCCUCCUACUGCUUUGCUAAUGCAGAUAAGGUAAUCCAUUUGGCAGGACUAAUUAGACCCAUUUGUCCACUAGGGUAAGGUAUAAAGCAACAUUGGAUUUUGGUAUCUUACUGAUAACUGUAAAAGACCAUAUCUCCUGCCUGCUGUGUUUGGGCUGUGCUUAUACUGCUGUGUUUGAGUAAGUGUGUCAGAAGGCUGACCAUCAUAUGUAUGGGUUUUGUGUAUCAGGCUGAUAUGAGCAGAGAGCCACCAUCAGUAGACAUAUAAAGCCUGUCCCCAGACUUGGCCAAUAACACAAUGUAGGAUUGUGAAUGACAGGUCAACUUCACUGUGUUGACCCUGAUUCCUCUUAUCAAUGAUAUUUUCUAAGAUGACUGUCAAUUAACUUAUUCCGUAAAGUUGUGUUAUAUACUGACGUUAUAAAUACAUGAAGUGUAGAAAAACACACGCUGUAGUCUUGAGAGCAUUUAGCAAAGAAAACUCUGACGGUGAUAUGACCAGAGUGGUGCUCAGGUGAGAGCUGAGAGGCACUGAACUCAGUCCUGAAAUGCUUACUGGAGUUUCCAGACUGUUUGGGAUCACAAAAGACAAAGGGCCAGUUGGCACGUGGAGGCAGCCUCUGUUGACAUGUCAACUCCGACUGUUUAUGACAAUAGAGACUGGAAGAUAUCAGUUCAUGCUGGUUAUGACCAAUGCCCGUCUCAGCUAGUAAUGUUUGUAGCAGGGUAGGAGUCCAUCCACUGUAAGCUACUCCAAUGUUUUUUAUACCAGGAGGUAUAUCUAUCUUGAUACCCCCACAUUUGGUGGUAACCUUUAUUACUAAUAACUGUUGAAAUAAACAAAUGGAUUUCCAAACUUCAUUCAGAAACCCUGACUACAUCAAAGCGAAUCAAUUACGUUUUCUGGGGUGAACUGCAGUAGAGUAGUUUGUAUUAGAUAUGAUACUGUAGAGUAGUUUAUAUUAGAUAUGAUACUGUAGAGUAGUUUAUAUUAGAUAUGAUACUGUAGAGUAGAGUAGUUUAUAUUAGAUAUGAUACUGUAGAGUAGUUUAUAUUAGAUAUGAUACUGUAGAGUAGUUUGUAUUAGAUAUGAUACUGUAGAGUAGAGUAGUUUAUAUUAGAUAUGAUACUGUAGAGUAGUUUGUAUUAGAUAUGAUACUGUAGAGUAGUUUGUAUUAGAUAUGAUACUGAGUAGUUUGUAUAAGGUAUACAGUAGAGUAGGCAUGAUAUGAUACAGUAGAUAUGAUUUAUCUUUGGAAUGCAGUACGCAGUGGCACCCUUCUUUCAGCAUGAGGAGAGUUUGGACAGACAAAAAAGAACUUCGGAAAGUGAGAAAAUAAUUUCACAUUACAGUCUGUGUUGUAUUGUGCCAGUAACAAUCUGCACUAGACCUAGGCACAAACAAGAAUGUAUUGAAGACACUUCACACCAAGGGUAUAGUGAAUAGAUAUAGGUUUCUUUACAAGCUUAUGGUCUAUAAAUCAGUUGUAGAGUAUUAUUAAUUACAGUGCUUGCAAAGCUUGCUGAUCUCAACAUUCUAUAAGUGUUAAUUAUCAACAGUCAACGGUCUCUGCUGCAGUCUUUGCAGUUCUCUCUGUCUCUCCCUCUCUCACUCUCUCUCUCUGUCUCUCCCUCUCUCUCUCUCUGUCUCUCCCUCUCUCUCUCUCAUUCCUCAUAGAUCUAUCUUUUACUCUAUCUAUCUUAAUAUCCUACUUUCCCAUCUAUUUCAUUUCUUUAUCUCCUUCACCCACUCAUUCCCUCUUUCAGUGACUCUCUCUGUCACUCUAUCAAUCAAUCAAUCUAUCUCUUUCUAUCUUAAUAUCAAAUAUCCCCAUCUAUUUAAUUUGUUUAUCUUCUUCUCUCACACACUCACUUAUUCUCUCUCUUUCAGUCACUCUCUCCCUUUCUAUCAUUCUAUCACUCUGUCAGUCUCUUUAUUUAUUUUGCUCUAUCUGAUUUCUAACUUAUCAAUCUCUUUAAUUUCUCUGUCUGUCUCUUUCACUCA
ensembl:lncRNA